GCGGACUUCACCGCAGCUGAGAUUGUAAACAGAGGAAGACAACUAUGCUCACUAACAAGUCCGCCUCCCCCAUCAUAACCCAUCUAUCCUCCAAGUGCCUCCUACACUUUCCACAUGGUCAUCUACCACAUCCAUGAAGCUACCUGAAGGUAGAGCAGCUCACCUGGACUGAGGAGUCGCACCACGACCACCAGACUCGAUUAUUCCAAGAGGGAGAAGUGCUGACGGUGCGCGUUUCCACCCUCGCACUGAUGAAAGUUUCCUAAUGGAGAACAGUCUGACAUCACUGACUGGUUCUGAAGACACUUUUUUUUUUUCCACU